rnacentral:rRNA from 1 species
CCUACGGGUGGCAGCAGUGAGGAAUAUUGGUCAAUGGGCGGAAGCCUGAACCAGCCAAGUAGCGUGCGGGAUGAAGGCCCUACGGGUCGUAAACCGCUUUUGCACGGGGAUAACACCCUCCACUUGUGGAGGUCUGCAGGUACCGUGCGAAUAAGGGACGGCUAAUUCAGUGCCAGCAGCAGCGGUAAUACGGAGGGCCCGAGCGUUAUCCGGAUUCAUUGGGCGUAAAGGGAGCGUAGGCGGGCGUGAGAGUCAGCUGUAAAAUCGCGCGGCGCAACCGCGCCCCGCAGUUGAAACUGGACGCCUUGAGUUCACAACAGGCAGGCGGAAUUCGGGGUGUAGCGGUGAAAUGCAUAGAUAUCACGAGGAACCCCGAUUGCGAAGGCAGCCGGCCGGUGUGCGACUGACGCUGAGGCUCGAAGGUGCGGGUAUCAAACAGGAUUAGAUACCCUAGUAGUC